AAGAGACGUUGCCCUUCGGGGUAUACCUCCCACCCUUUGUUUAUUAUACCUUUGUUGCUUUGGCGGGCCCGUCCUCGGACCACCGGCUUCUGCUGGUCAGUGCCCGCCAGAGGACCUAAAACUCUGUUUGUUAACUAUUGUCUGAGUACUAUAUAAUAGUUUA
rnacentral:misc_RNA from 1 species